rnacentral:rRNA from 1 species
AGAAUCAACGCUGGCGGCGUGCCUAACACAUGCAAGUCGAUCGAGAAAGUGGAGCAAUCCAUGAGUAAAGAGGCGCACGGGUGAGUAACACGUGACUAACCUACCCUCGAGUGGGGAAUAACCUGGGAAACCCGGGCUAAUACCGCAUAAUACCCACGGGUCAAAGGAGCAAUUCGCUUGAGGAGGGGGUCGCGGCAGAUUAGUUAGUUGGCGGGGUAAUGGCCCACCAAGACGAUGAUCUGUAUCCGG